rnacentral:tRNA from 1 species
GCCCCCGUAGCUCAGAUGGAUAGAGCGUCCGCCUCCUAAGCGGAAGGCCAUGCGUUCGAAUCGCGUCGGGGGUG